rnacentral:rRNA from 1 species
GAUGAACGCUGGCGGCGUGCCUAAUACAUGCAAGUCGAGCGAACUGAUUAGAAGCUUGCUUCUAUGACGUUAGCGGCGGACGGGUGAGUAACACGUGGGCAACCUGCCUGUAAGACUGGGAUAACUUCGGGAAACCGAAGCUAAUACCGGAUAGGAUCUUCUCCUUCAUGGGAGAUGAUUGAAAGAUGGUUUCGGCUAUCACUUACAGAUGGGCCCGCGGUGCAUUAGCUAGUUGGUGAGGUAACGGCCCACCAAGGCAACGAUGCAUAGCCGACCUGAGAGGGUGAUCGGCCACACUGGGACUGAGACACGGCCCAGACUCCUACGGGAGGCAGCAGUAGGGAAUCUUCCGCAAUGGACGAAAGUCUGACGAAGCAACGCCGCGUGAGUGAUGAAGGCUUUCGGGUCGUAAAACUCUGUUGUUAGGGAAGAACAAGUACAAGAGUAACUGCUUGUACCUUGACGGUACCUAACCAGAAAGCCACGGCUAACUACGUGCCAGCAGCAGCCGCGGUAA